rnacentral:rRNA from 1 species
GAUCCUGGCUCAGAAUCAACGCUGGCGGCGUGCCUAACACAUGCAAGUCGAACGAGAAAAGGUGGGUGUAGCAAUACAUUCGCCUGAGUAAAGUGGCGACCGGGUGAGUAACACGUGGCCAACCUACCCUCGAGCGGGGGAUAACCUGGGGAAACUCGGGCUAAUACCGCAUAACAUCCUGGUGACAUAAGCCAUCGGGAUCGAAGGCCCGCAAGGGUCACUUGAGGAGGGGGCUGCGGCCGAUUAGCUAGUUGGUGAGGUAACGGCCCACCAAGGCAAUGAUCGGUAGCCGGCCUGAGAGGGCGCACGGUCACACUGGCACUGAAAUACGGGCCAGACUCCUACGGGAGGCAGCAGUGGGGAAUUUUGCACAAUGCCCGAAAGGGUGAUGCAGCAACGCCGCGUGAGGGAUGAAGGCCUUCGGGUCGUAAACCUCUUUCGACUGGGAAAAAUGGGCGGGUGAACAGCCCGUUCUGAUGGUACCGGUGGAAGAAGCCCCGGCCAACUACGUGCCAGCAGCCGCGGUAAUACGUAGGGGGCGAGCGUUGUUCGGAAUUAUUGGGCGUAAAGGGCGCGUAGGCGGGCGGGCAAGUCUCUCGUGAAAGCCCACGGCUCAACCGUGGAACUGCGGGAGAUACUGCCUGUCUUGAGUCCGGGAGAGGAGGGUGGAAUUCCCAGUGUAGCGGUGAAAUGCGUAGAUAUUGGGAGGAACACCGGUGGCGAAGGCGGCUCUCUGGACCGGUACUGACGCUGAGGCGCGAAAGCUAGGGGAGCAAACG